GUGGGUAUAGCUCACUGGUAAAGUGCAUGCUCAGCAUGCACUAAGUCCUGGGUUCAAUCCCUAGUACCUCCA
rnacentral:tRNA from 1 species